UGUCUAGUUUUCCUACGAAGAUAUUGCCUUUUCUACCAUAGGCCUCAAACGGCGCUAAAUAUCCACCUGGAAAUUCUACAAAAACUGAGUUUCAAAAGUGCUCUAUUGAAAGGAAGCUUCAACUGUGUGAGUUGAAAGUACACAUCACAAAGAAGUUUCUGAGAAUUCUUCUGUCUAGUUGUAAAUGAAGAAAUCACGUUUCAAACGAAGGCCACAAAGAGGUCCAAAUAUCCACUUGCAGAUUCUACAAAAAGAGUGUUUCAAAACGGCUCCAUCAAGAGGAAUGUUCAACUCUGUGCUUUGAAUGCAAAUAUCGCAAAUAAGUUUCUGACAAUACUUCUGUCUAGUUUUUAUGUGAAGAUAUUUCCUUUCCUACUGUAGGCCUCAAAACGCUCUAAAUAUACACUUGCAAAUUCCACAAAA
rnacentral:lncRNA from 1 species